rnacentral:rRNA from 1 species
GCUUAGAGAGGGGUCAAUGUCCUAUCAGCUAGUUGGUAGGGUAAUGGCCUACCAAGGCUAAGACGGGUAGCCGGCCUGAGAGGGUGGUCGGCCACACUGGGACUGAGACACUGCCCAGACUCCUACGGGAGGCUGCAGUCGAGAAUCUUUCGCAAUGCCCGAAAGGGUGACGAAGCGACGCCGCGUGUGGGAAGAAGGCCUUCGGGUUGUAAACCACUGUCGGGAGUUAAGAAAUGCAAGGGUGUUAAUAGCAUCCUUGCUUGACUAAGGCUCCGGAGGAAGCCACGGCUAACUCUGUGCCAGCAGCCGCGGUAAUACAGAGGCGGCAAGCGUUGUUCGGAAUUAUUGGGCGUAAAGUGCACGUAGGCGGCUUUGUAAGUCAGUUGUGAAAGCCUUCUGCUCAACGGAAGAACAGCAUCUGAUACUGCAAGGCUAGAGUGCGGAAGGG